UAGUUUCUAAUUACGUGAAUGUGCUAUAUUAGUGCUACAUUUAUUUAUCUGACUACAAACGUAAGUGGUCAAGACAAUGAACUGAUGUGCUCAAACGUUGACUGAAUUUCCGUUCUAUCUACAUUUUAGAUGUGUCAGCAACGCAUCGAUUGGAGCUUGGCUACUGAUUCACUCCUGUCAUGGACCACAGCAAACAAGUAUGGCACUUGACAGGUAUGGAUCAACAAAUUGGUGGAGGAGAGGAAGAGGAGAUACUUGAGACGAGUUGUGCAAUGUAUUGCUGACGCCAGAUUGCUGGAGGUUGAGAUACAUGGAUGCUGAUUUAUGAGCUGCCAUCUUGGUGUGACCUGAGUCAUAGACCGACCAGAGCAGAGCCUUGACGUGUGCUUGUUGACAACAGCUGGUGAGUCUUGUAACAAAUACCUUUCCACUCCACAUUCAAAUUGUAUUCAGCUCUAUCCAGUUCAAAUAUCUCCUGUGAUCUUGCAGCUAUAGUGAGGUCCACGUAAUAAUGGAGUGUUUGAUUAGCAAUAUUAUUGCUAUCCUUGUCUAUCAUUCAACAAAGCGGAUAGCACUAUCUC